CCUACGGGAGGCAGCAGUGAGGAAUAUUGGUCAAUGGCCGGAAGGCUGAACCAGCCAAGCCGCGUGAAGGACGAAGGUGCCACGCAUUGUAAACUUCUUUUGUCAAGGGACAAAAUCAGGCUCGAGAGCCUGACCGAGGGUACUUGAAGAAAAAGCAUCGGCUAACUCCGUGCCAGCAGCCGCGGUAAUACGGAGGAUGCGAGCGUUAUCCGGAUUUAUUGGGUUUAAGGGGUGCGUAGGCGGACUGUUAAGUCAGCGGUAAAAGCCCGGGGCUCAACCCCGGCGAGCCGUUGAAACUGGCUGUCUGGAGAGGGCGAGAGGUAUGCGGAAUGCGCAGUGUAGCGGUGAAAUGCUUAGAUAUGGCGCAGAACUCCGAUUGCGAAGGCAGCAUACCGGCGGCGAUCUGACGCUGAGGCACGAAAGCGUGGGUAUCGAACAGGAUUAGAUACCCCUGUAGUC
rnacentral:rRNA from 1 species